rnacentral:misc_RNA from 1 species
GAUGAAGAACGUAGCGAAAUGCGAUACGUAAUGUGAAUUGCAGAAUUCAGUGAAUCAUCGAGUCUUUGAACGCACAUUGCGCCCCCUGGUAUUCCGGGGGGCAUGCCUGUCCGAGCGUCAUUGCUGCCCUCAAGCACGGCUUGUGUGUUGGGCCUCCGUCCUCCUCCCGGGGGCCGGGCCCGAAAGGCAGCGGCGGCACCGCGUCCGGUCCUCGAGCGUAUGGGGCUUCGUCACCCGCUCUUGUAGGCCCGGCCGGCGCUUGCCGACACAUCAAUCUUUUUUCCAGGUUGACCUCGGAUCAGGUAGGGAUACCCGCUGAACUUAAGCAUAUCAAUAAGCGGAGGA